UACAGAGGGUGCGAGCGUUGUUCGGAAUUAUUGGGCGUAAAGGGCGCGUAGGCGGCCUGGCAAGUGGAAGGUGAAAUCCCUCGGCUUAACCGAGGAACUGCCCUCCAAACUGCUUGGCUUGAGUCCGGGAGAGGUGAGUGGAAUUCCCAGUGUAGCGGUGAAAUGCGUAGAUAUUGGGAGGAACACCAGUGGCGAAGGCGGCUCACUGGACCGGUACUGACGCUGAGGCGCGAAAGCGUGGGGAGCAAACAGG
rnacentral:rRNA from 1 species